GAAAUAGCUCAGUUGGUAGAGCAUAACCUUGCCAAGGUUAGGGUCGCGAGUUCGAGUCUCGUUUUC
rnacentral:tRNA from 2 species